UGGAGAACACUGUACAGGGGACUGGUGAUAUGUAAUGGAGGGUGUUGAUGGGGACUGGUGAUAUGUAAUGGAGGGUGUUGAUGGGGACUGGUGAUAUGUAAUGGAGGGUGUUGAUGGGGACUGGUGAUAUGUAAUGGAGGGUGUUGAUGACAAGGUAAAGCCAGCAUGGAGAACACUGUACAGGGGACUGGUGAUAUGUAAUGGAGGGUGUUGAUGGGGACUGGUGAUAUGUAAUGGAGGGUGUUGAUGGGGACUGGUGAUAUGUAAUGGGGAGUGUUGAUGGGGACUGGUGAUAUGUAAUGGAGGGUGUUGAUGGGGACUGGUGAUAUGUAAUGGAGGGUGUUGAUGGGGACUGGUGAUAUGUAAUGGGGGGUGUUGAUGGGGGCUGGUGAUAUGUAAUGGGGGGUGUUGAUGACAAGGUAAAGCCAGCAUGGGGAACACUGUACAGGGGACUGGUGAUAUGUAAUGGAGGGUGUUGAUGGGGACUGGUGAUAUGUAAUGGAGGGUGUUGAUGGGGACUGGUGAUAUGUAAUGGAGGGUGUUGAUGGGGACUGGUGAUAUGUAAUGGAGGGUGUUGAUGACAAGGUAAAGCCAGCAUGGAGAACACUGUACAGGGGACUGGUGAUAUGUAAUGGAGGGUGUUGAUGGGGACUGGUGAUAUGUAAUGGAGGGUGUUGAUGACAAGGUAAAGCCAGCAUGGAGAACACUGUACAGGGGACUGGUGAUAUGUAAUGGGGGUGUUGAUGGGACUGGUGAUAUGUAAUGGGGGGUGUUGAUGGGGACUGGUGAUAUGUAAUGGGGGGU
ensembl:lncRNA